rnacentral:rRNA from 1 species
AGGUGGUGCAUGGUUGUCGUCAGCUCGUGUCGUGAGAUGUUGGGUUAAGUCCCGCAACGAGCGCAACCCUCGCCUCUAGUUGCCAGCAUUCGGUUGGGCACUUCUAGAGGGACUGCCGGCGACAAGUCGGAGGAAGGUGGGAUGACGUCAAAUCAUCAUGCCCCUUAUGACCUGGGCUACACACGUGCUACAAUGGUUGGUACAACGAGUUGCGAGUCGGUGACGGCGAGCUAAUCUCUUAAAGCCAAUCUCAGUUCGGAUUGUAGGCUGCAACUCGCCUACAUGAAGUCGGAAUCGCUAGUAAUCGCGGAUCAGCACGCCGCGGUGAAUACGUUCCCGGGCCUU